rnacentral:sRNA from 1 species
CCCAGGGCUUGCGCCCUGGGCUAUUGGCUACCGCCCCUUCGGGGCU